rnacentral:lncRNA from 1 species
GUCGCAUCUACCAGAGUAGGAAAGACUUAAGAGAGAUUUAGCUCACAGCAUUCAACAAUCUCCAGGACACUUCAGUGAUUGCAUCCUGAUGAUGUAUACGGUAGCCCUGGCUAACUGUAACAGACGCCUCAGCUCUGAGCUCAAACGCCGGAUAGAGACAGAAGUGCAGAAUAAAGUCUUCCUAGCCCAGAGAGCGGUGGCUCUGAGUCCAACGAAUGGAGCGUCCUGAUAAGUCUGGCUGGACCUUCAGCCCCUCAGAUCCACCGGAAGCUUCAGUGACUUCAUAUAUCAAGCGAUGGAACCAUCUCAUCUCUGGAACCAAAUCCCAUGCCCUCUGCCACCUGAAUGCCACACUCUCAAUUGAACUGUAUUAAUAAACAAC